rnacentral:rRNA from 1 species
GACGAACGCUGGCGGCGUGCUUAACACAUGCAAGUCGAGCGGUAAGGCCUCUUCGGGGGUACACGAGCGGCGAACGGGUGAGUAACACGUGGGUGACCUGCCCUCAGCUCUGGGAUAAGCCUGGGAAACUGGGUCUUAUACCGGAUAUGACCUUUCCUCGAAUGGGGUUUGGUGGAAAGUUUGUUCGGCUGGGGAUGGGACCGCGGCCUGUCAGCUUGUUGGUGGGGUGAUGGCCUACCAAGGCGACGACGGGUGGCCGGCCUGAGAGGGCGACGGGCAACACUGGGACGGAGACGCGGCCCAGACUCCUACAGGGGGCAGCAGUGGGUAGUAUUGCACAAAGGGCGCAAGACUGACGCAGAGGCGCCGCUUGGUAGAUGACGGCCUUCGGGAUGGAAACCUCUUUCGACCCCGACGAAUUUGGACGGUAGAGGUAGAAGAAGCACCGGCCAACUACGUG